rnacentral:lncRNA from 1 species
CUCUCUCUCUCUCUCUCCCCCCCCACCUGCAUGUUUUCCGGCUGCCUGGAAUGCUUCCCUGGACACAGCAGCAGCAGCACCGGAGCACGGAGAGGAAUUAGAAGGAAGGACGCGAUCCUUUCCUUUCCCCUCUGCUUGCCAGGAGGGGAGGGGAUUUCCCUGCUCUUUGUUCUGUUUGAGCAAACAGAAACCGAAACAGAAGAGGGUGGGCAGUAAGACCCUGAGGCAGAAUGCAGGAAAGCAGCAGCUUCCUCUUUUCAGGCUUCCCUUCUCCCGUGAUGGCGCGAUAUGAUUUUUGCCUGAUUUUUGCCCCUGCACUCGGGACAGUCGGCUCCAGGGUCCACACAUUCGCUCAAUAACAUGCACAGACAUUUCCCCUUACUUUUUAGGAGAAAAAAAUUCCUGUGUGUUAUAGAGGGGGAAAUACGGUAAUUACCAACAUAACAAAAGUCACAAGCAAUAAAUGAAACACGUCAAAAAGUACACAACCAAAUAGAAAACAAUUUCCACAUAAAUCACAAAAUCUAAAACUAAGAAUACAGCAUUAAUAUCAAUCACAAUUUAAAAUGACAGAGAUAAAUGACAGAGAUAAAAAAUAAAAGCAAUUCAAAAAACAAAAACAGAGCCUUCUCUGCCCAGGAGCAGCAGCAGUAGCAGCAGCAGUCCUUUAUGGAGCCUGCCAGGCCCCACCCCAAGGCAGGUAGAGAGAAGCAGGGCAUGGCCCUUCAGGCUCCCAGCAGGUCAGUCCUCAAAGGAGGCUUCAUUGCAGAGUAUGAAAUUUCUGAUUCAGAACCUUAUCAAGAAAGCUGAAGACCAAGAACAAAGAUGCAGCCACCUCCUUUUUCUGUAGCUCUUCAUUUCUGGGGGCAUUCUGUUUUUCUAGUCCUUUUAAUGCAACAUUCCCUGGACCCAAGGUGAAAGAGAACAGAGCAAUGAAUGUAUGUUUUUUCCCUAACUUAGCCAUCUAGCCUCCAUCCAGGUUAGCAUGGGUCAUUAUUAAAAUUCAGUGCCAUGUUCCAGCCAGGCAAAAAUGCUCAAAGGGUGUGACCUUGGGAGACGGAGUGCAGCUGGGAAGGAAUCCUGAGGGCCAGAGAGGGAGGCUCCUGUGGCGUUUGCCAGUUUGUUUAGAGCCUGUCUGUAUAGGGUAAAAAGAAAGGGUUAAAAAUGUAGACCAAUAGGAAAGCUGGAGGCGGAGCCUACAUGUGUAUAAAAGGGCUUAGCCCGAGGUUUGUUUGAGCUGUUGGUGGGUAGUUGGUUGGUUUUAGUGGGUUGGCUGGUUGGGAAAGGCAGUUGGAGAAGCAGUUGGCAGGCAGUUGGAAAUAGAGAGACAGUUAGGGCAAUGGGUUUUUGAGUGAGGGGAGGUAGAAGAGAUAGAGGAACAACAUUUGGAAUGCCGUAAAAGUUCAUUUGUGUCCGAAAUAAAAUACACUCUUCUUUAUUAACUUGGGAACCUGACUGAGACUGAAGUGAUUGUACUGGGGAGGACCUGGUUGGUGGCAGCGGAUUAGUGGUGUACGGGUCAAUAGUCCGUGAGGCAACCGGGGGCUCCAUAUGAACGCCACAGCUCCCCACUCCUACUUUAUGCUUUAUAGGGACAGCAUGACAUGAACCCACAGAAAAACAGCUAGCAUGGCACUCAAGUGAUAUUUCAAAAGGGCCUAACGCCACUAAGGAAUGUAUCACUCUCAUUGGAAAACUGGCAUUCAUGUUUUAGAAAUCCGUUCCAGGAAACUUUAUUGUUGUUGACUAGUCAGCUAGCCGAGGGUGAUUUAAGUAGCAUAAUUCUCUUCAGCUGUGUUUUAAUAUGCAGAGGUAAUUCUCCAAAACUGAAUCUGUGGAUGAGAGCUAAGCAGAUUUGCCUUAAAUACUCUUAAUAUGAUCAACAUCACUUUCACUUGCUUCCCCCCCUCACCAUUUUUUGGGGUAUGUAAUGCAUGCAAAUAUGAUAAUAGCUCAAUACAUUUUUAAAAAAUAUUCCCUAGCUAUCAAGUCUGCUCAUUUGGUGUACAGGAAGAAGAAAAUAUGUCCCUGAUACUCUGUAAUGGGUGCACGCUAUAGAGAAACGUUUGGAGGGAAGUGAUGUGCUUAACAUUAAUUUUAAGCAAAGAGAAGGGGGAGUAAAUUAAACAGCUUCACAAGAGUGAUAGCCCGGACACGUGACCGAAUGCAAAUAUUUAAUUUUUAAUUAAAUCUUUUCUUUGUUUAAACUUUAUUACCAUUUUUAAAUAUUCAGUAUCAUAGCAUCCCUCCUCCUUCCAUCUCACCCUUCCUAACUCAUCUUAUCACACCUUGUAGAUAUAUACAUAGUAGAGAAAGGGCAAACAGAAGAGAGAUAUAAAAGAGUAAAGUAAUAUCAAAGGAAAAGGAAGGGGGAAGGCAGAGGAGGGAGGGAAUGGAAGGAAUAAAAAGGAAUACAAGAGGCACAGGCAGUGAAGCAUAAUGUCAAUGGUAGACAACACAAAGGCCAUCAAUAUGCUCUGUUGCUGCAUCCUCUGAAGUCAGGAGGUUACGCAAGAAACUCUGUUACUUUUGCAUACUAGAUGUGCUACACCAGCUUAUCAUUUCUCUAUCCAGUGUUCAAACUUGGGGUAUCCUUGGAGCUUUCAGGGCCUUCUAAGACACAGGCAUUAUACUGCCAAACUACAUUCCAGAAAAUGAUUGUAAACCGCCUGGUGAUCUUUGGAUUUAGGACAAUAUAGCAAUUUAAAUUUAAAUCUGCCCUUGGUAAUCCUGUUUAACCAAGUCAAGCUUAUAGUAUUUGCAUAUGAAACUGUCUUUUACUGAGACAGGUUAAUGGAUCAUCUAGUAGGGUUGCCAUACUAGAGCAAAAAAGAGGACACAUUUGCAGACUUCUUCUUUUAAAUAGUACUUUUUCUUAUCCAUUCUUAAGGAAAUCAGCCCUGAGUGCUCGCUGGAAGGACAGAUCGUGAAGCUGAAACUCCAAUACUUUGGCCACCUCAUGAGAAGAGAAGACUCCCUGGAAAAGACCCUGGUGUUGGGAAAGAUGGAGGGCACAAGGAGAAGGAGACGACAGAGGACGAGAUGGUUGGACAGUGUUCUCCAAGCUACAAACAUGAGUCUGACCAAACUGCGGGAGGCAGUGGAAGACAGAAGUGCCUGGCGUGCUCUGGUCCAUGGGGUCACGAAGAGUUGGACACGACUAAAUGACUAAACAACAACAACUUUUAAGUAUGGAUCGCUAGGACCACUCUACCCAUGAGAAAGAGGAUGUGUCCUGGAAAAAGAGGACAUAUGCAGCCUGGUGUUGUCUACCAAACAGUUCUCCAGGGUCUCUGGCAGAGGUCUUUAACAUCACCUCCUACUUGGCCACACAGCUGGAGUUCCUGGGGACUGAAUGUGGGAACUUUUGCAUUCAAAGUACAUGCCCUACCAUUCAGCUAUGUCCUGUUCCCAUUCACAACUCAAAUAAAGCCUUGAAGCAUGUGGUGGUAGUGAUCCUAAUACUAAUGCAAGGUCUAUCAAUACAUGGCCUGAUAAAGUACAUUUCCCAUUUUUUGUGACUUCCAUUGUAUUACUACAUGAAAUGCAGAAAGACACAUUCACAUUACAUGGCCAACAAGAAAAAGAGCACACACAGCUGCUGGUGCCAUCUGUGUAGACCAGCUUCUAGCCAAAAUAAUAUUUCCCUAAGAGUUUCCAGUUGUUGGUAAUAGGAGGUAAUAUGGAUAUGACUCUGUAUCAGGAAGUAGAACACGAGAGUAGUAGCCUUGGCUCCAUUACAUGGUUUGUUAUUGACAAAAAUUAUAAUGAGUCAGUAGAUAUGGCUUAUAUAUUCUUGGUUUCUGUUUGUAACGUUUCCCCUCAUAAAACCUGGCUGGAUAGCAAGUCCAAAAUGAAGCGACUCUCUGCCAGAGACAUCCAGCCAUAUGUGCCUCUGCUGAGCCAUCUGUAGACCAUUCCAUAUGGCAGUUGUUUUAGUUUCACCAGAUUUUGGACUCAAGUUCCAUAAGAAGCACAAGUUUUUUAAAAAAAAAAUCGGGGGGGGGGGAAGAAUCAUCACCCAUUUUUCUCCCAUAUGAUGAUAAGCUGUUAUUACUGCUGGAGCAGAUGCUUCCAGCGACAGACCAGUCAUAACCUGGAGAGCAUCAAGAGCCAAUGAAAAUUAUGAUCCAACCCAAUCUGAGGCUAUAGAAUCAAAUCAAAAGAUUGCUUUCCUACACAGAAUUCCAUAUGUAUACUGUAAUGUAAGCCUGUGUAGCUUGAGGACCACCAAGCUGAACACAACUGAAUGGUCAUGUAUGUAAUUACAUCAUAGGUAAUAAUAAUAAAAAUAAAUGCUGUCAUUGAAAUACUAGCUGCCCAGGUUGCUGAAAUAAAGGAAAUUAUCCUACCAAAGACUCCACCAUUUGUCACUUUUUCUCAGUGUCACGACAGAAGUGUGAUAUAAAUCAGGCUGUAAGAUAUCUAUCAAUUAGGAAUGGGCCAAGCAGCUAAUUGCAUUCAGUUUUGGUGUUGCAGACUCUUGAUUAUAGGUCCAGUCCACCCUGUUCCAUCCCACUGUACACAUUAUAUGUGCAUCUUUAAUGCAAAAUACACACUUUUCAAUAUUUUUCAGUGCAUUUGCCAGUAAAAUGCACAUUUUGCAAACAUCUUUUUGUAAAAAAAAAUAAAUGUAUUUUUGUGUGCAUUUUUUUCACCACCCCACUCCUGAAAAAGCAUUCCCAAUUGGGAGUGCAUAAUUCAAUUGGAAGAUGCCUUCUGAGCUACAAACAAGUUGGG